AGACGUCUACAUUAGAUACCCGGGUAGUCCCAGCUGUAAACUAUGCUCGCUAGGUGUCAGGCAUGGCGCGACCGUGUCUGGUGCCGCAGGGAAGCCGUGAAGCGAGCCACCUGGGAAGUACGGCCGCAAGGCUGAAACUUAAAGGAAUUGGCGGGGGAGCACAACAACGGGUGGAGCCUGCGGUUUAAUUGGACUCAACGCCGGACAACUCACCGGGAACGACAGCAAUAUGUAGGCCAGGCUGAAGACCUUGCCUGAAUCGCUG
rnacentral:rRNA from 1 species